UACGUAGGGGGCAAGCGUUGUCCGGAUUUAUUGGGCGUAAAGAGCGUGUAGGCGGCUAGGUAGGUCCGUUGUGAAAACUCGAGGCUCAACCUCGAGCUGUCGAUGGAAACCAUCUGGCUAGAGUCCGGAAGAGGAGAGUGGAAUUCCUGGUGUAGCGGUGAAAUGCGCAGAUAUCAGGAGGAACACCGGUGGCGAAGGCGGGUCUCUGGGCCGAAAUUGACGCUGAGGAGCGAAAGCGUGGGGAGCAAACAGG
rnacentral:rRNA from 1 species